GAGCCACCCUGAGCCUUGGGGACCCACCAGGAAAGCAUCUCCUCAUGAGAAAGGAGCUGGCCUUGACCUUGCUGGGGACCUGCCUCAAAUUCACUAUCCCUGCAUGGGGGUCUCCUCGUGGAGCUCAUCUCUCACUGAGGAAAGAAGGGCUCGGCUUUGAUAAAGGAAUGCUAGACUUUAGCAGCAGACGCAGGCGUUUCUGGUGUUUCAACUCCGUUCAGCAUGGGCCACCUUUGGGUCCAUGUUUCAGCCAACCCGCCCGUGAAGCCUGAAGCAGCUCCAUCUUGGGAGCAAAUCCUCCACCUCGGCUUCUGAUCAACCCCGGUUCCAGCUGAUCUACUGUUCUGUGUAAGAGCAAGUACUUGUCAUAAAUCCUGCCCUUACGGCAAAUCAACCUUGAUAAACUCCACGGUAAAUCCUGCCCUUAGGCAUAUUCCUACACCUUCCCUCUGGAGCACCAUACCUUUGCCCUAUGUAUAGAAGCCCUGGGUCCGGGGGGUGCUGGUGGGGACCUACCUGUCUUGUGGUUGCCCAAGACUACACUUCUGCCCGUAAGUUCCCCCAAUAAAAUCACCCUAUAACAAC
rnacentral:lncRNA from 1 species